rnacentral:rRNA from 1 species
UACGAAGGGGGCUAGCGUUGCUCGGAAUGACUGGGCGUAAAGGGCGCGUAGGCGGCUUGCACCGUCAGAUGUGAAAUUCCUGGGCUCAACCUCGGGUCUGCAGUCGAUACGGGCGGACUUGAGUACUGCAGGGGAGACUGGAAUUCCUGGUGUAGCGGUGAAAUGCGCAGAUAUCAGGAGGAACACCGGUGGCGAAGGCGGGGUCUCUGGGCAGUAACUGACGCUGAGGUGCGAAAGCGUGGGGAGCAAACAGG